rnacentral:lncRNA from 1 species
CGGUACUCGAAGAGUAAAUAAGGUACAAAUUUCUUACUGGGUACCGGGUAUAAAAGUUGUGACGCGUACGCAGCGUCUCACACGUACCUUUUAAAAAUUUUGGAGACCACCAAUGCAUUUAAUCAGACAACAUUGCUUUUGAAAGAGGCCACCGAUUUCUUAUAUAUUUGGUUAAACACUUUUAUGUAUAUAUGUAACAAUCUUCAGAAGAGGAUGAUGUAUAAUGCUUACGUGGAACACACGAUGUAGUUUUUGUUAAAGAUCUUCAGAAAAUUGUCAUAAGUCUGAUAUUUGUAUGAAUAUGGGUAUGAAUGUGAGUAUUCUGGGUGGUGUUACUGUGCCUUAUGUGCAUGCUUAUCAAAUUAGAACUAAUGGAAUGGCGUGGAGUGUGGUCCACACUCUGGCGGCUCGGUCGUGCUGCUCUCGGUCCCUCUUGUACAUGUUGGCAGCUACGAUAUCCACGGGGUCAUCAGGAUUGGGAUCUGCUAGCAGCGACAUGAUCUAUAUGAGAACUUUAUCUACAGUCAAGAUAGACGACCAGUUGUGCGGAAGUAUGUAAAGGCACUUUGAAUUAGAUAUAUUAUUUCCAGAUAACUGAUCACUGAUCACUGAUCACUGAUCACCAGUGGCGGGGUUAUGUUGCAGUGGUAAAUCUGAGUCGUAAAUUGUACAUGAGGCGGGGCAUGCGGGUAGUUUGGUGGAAAUAAUAUAUCUAAUUCAAAGUGCCUGGACAUACUAUCGCACAACUUGUCGUCUAUCUUGACUGUAGAUAAAGUUCUCCUAUCGAUCAUGUCGCUGCUAGCAGAUCCCAAUCCUGACGACCCCAAUGGAUAUCGUAGUUGUGCAUGCAUUAUUUCGUUCAGCUCAUGACCAAGACGUCCUUUGGCGCCGCCGCCCCGAGACUGCGGCGAAGGAAAACGCUCCAGACCCUGUGGCCUGCUUCAGGGUAGAGGCCGUGGAACUAAGGCGAUAUUUUGAAGUUCAGUGUCAUAUGCAUUCAUCCGCCAAUACAUUUGUCGAGCUUCAAGGUGAAAACGCUGUUCAGCAGCACUAACAUCAAGGUGGGUUGCAGGACAUUGUACGGCGCUACUAGUAGCAUUUCGGGUGGCGGUGGCAGCACGGUGGGUUGCAGGACGUUGUACGGCGCUACUUGUAUAACCUUGGGUGGCAGCAAG